AGAGUUUGAUCCUGGCUCAGGACGAACGCUGGCGGCGCGCCUAACACAUGCAAGUCGAACGGAGCUUAGAGAGCUUGCUUUUUAAGCUUAGUGGCGAACGGGUGAGUAACGCGUGAGUAACCUGCCCUAGAGUGGGGGACAACAGUUGGAAACGACUGCUAAUACCGCAUAAGCCCACGGUACCGCAUGGUACUGAGGGAAAAGGAUUUAUUCGCUUUAGGAUGGACUCGCGUCCAAUUAGCUAGUUGGUGAGGUAACGGCCCACCAAGGCGACGAUUGGUAGCCGGACUGAGAGGUUGAACGGCCACAUUGGGACUGAGACACGGCCCAGACUCCUACGGGAGGCAGCAGUGGGGGAUAUUGCACAAUGGGGGAAACCCUGAUGCAGCGACGCCGCGUGGAGGAAGAAGGUCUUCGGAUUGUAAACUCCUGUUGUUGAGGAAGAUAAUGACGGUACUCAACAAGGAAGUGACGGCUAACUACGUGCCAGCAGCCGCGGUAAAACGUAGGUCACAAGCGUUGUCCGGAAUUACUGGGUGUAAAGGGAGCGCAGGCGGGAAGACAAGUUGGAAGUGAAAUCCAUGGGCUCAACCCAUGAACUGCUUUCAAAACUGUUUUUCUUGAGUAGUGCAGAGGUAGGCGGAAUUCCCGGUGUAGCGGUGGAAUGCGUAGAUAUCGGGAGGAACACCAGUGGCGAAGGCGGCCUACUGGGCACCAACUGACGCUGAGGCUCGAAAGUGUGGGUAGCAAACAGGAUUAGAUACCCUGGUAGUCCACACCGUAAACGAUGAUUACUAGGUGUUGGAGGAUUGACCCCUUCAGUGCCGCAGUUAACACAAUAAGUAAUCCACCUGGGGAGUACGACCGCAAGGUUGAAACUCAAAGGAAUUGACGGGGGCCCG
rnacentral:rRNA from 1 species